rnacentral:lncRNA from 1 species
GUAAGAAAACAAAUAAAUAAAUAAUCACACAAUUAAAUAAGUUAGAAAUUGAAUUUGGGCCUCUUUUUGGGGCCAAAUUCGCUGUAAUUUCUGGGGAUUUACUCAAUCCCGUUUUUGGUAUACAGCUGAUGUAUAUCGGCAUGUAUAUCAGCCCCUUUCAUGUAUUUUAUUGCUUCCGAACACAUGUAUUUCACUCCAGCCCUGUAUUCCUGCGUUUUUGACCUGUAUAUCGAUGUAUAUCUGUUGUAUAUCAUUGUAUAUUUGCCUUUUUCCACCUGCGUUUUUGGCUUUUUGAGAUCUGUUUCAGCUUCUUUUAUAACAUAGAUUUCCUCUUCGAAUUCCAUAUGCUCCCAAUGACGAGGUUGACUCGAUAAGAGGGAGUUUUAGGCCUCCGAGGCCCAUUUGAAAUGCGAGGUGUAGACAUGAAUACAUAGGACUCACUCGGACAUACAUAAAGUGGACAAAUAAAUACAAAUUAGCAAAUGGAAUAAGAAGAUUGAUUGAUGUACCAUUUUAAACUAAAGGAAACUUUGGCAUUUUCAUUGCAAAUUCAAUUACAGCUAACCUUACACACCAAGAAUGGGAAGAGACCACAUGUGAGCAUUAUUAAUUUCCAAUCACAUUGCAUUAUCAUCUAGGGAAAUCAAUCACAGCACAUGGUAUUAUUCCAAAACACAUUGAACACUUCUAAAUUUUUGAGCUUAUUUGAAGAUUAUAUACUAGCUAUGUGAUGAACAAAUGGGAGAAGUUGAAACCUUGGCAAAUCAAGCAUGACGGAUUCAUCUACAUCCAAACAUCAAACUAUGCUAACUAAGAAGACAUAACACAACCGAAUAUGCUUAAGUUAACAAGAAAAUGUAAAACAAAUGCGCUUAGUUUAAAAUCAACUCAUUUAACAAGAUAACAUUUCCCAAAUGCUAAAAAGAAACCAAACUUCCUGGGAUCAACCACACUUGUUCGUUCCGCUAGGAAAUAUUACAUUGGUAUUAAUAAUCAACCGUAUGGGGGCAACACUAUGAUCUUGCAUGCUUGAAUAUGGUUAAAUAUAUUAAAUUCCUAGAUCACACAAUCACAACAACAAUCAAAGGAGGCAUUCUUGACAAUAGCCACUGAAAUAAAAAAAAUGCAAUUAUUAUUAGCUUUUAAUCAAUGAAUGGGACCAUAAACACGACAUAACAGAGCUACAGGGAUUAACAUGGGGGCUUAAAUAAUUAGCAAGCCAUAUAAUGAGCGAUUAAUACAAAAAAAUUCAUGCUUCCAAAUAAUUUCAAGGAUGAAACUUUAACAAAUUAAAACCCGAAAAAUAAUAAGAUAUUCUAUACUAACUUUAUGGCAAACGACUAUUCACUUAUACAAAAUUACUAAGUAAAGGAGGUAAAGAUUUGAGCAAAUCUUAGGCAUCAAAGCAACGGAACUCGAACAAUAAUGGAGAAAGGAGGAAGAGGACGACUAAACAUUAAUUGAAUUCAAGCUAACUUAGAUACAAACAAUACAAUUUCGUUUUAGCUCAUUUUAAGGGUGUAGAAAAUAAGGACAUAUAUGUAAAAUUAACAUGGUAAAACACUUUACAUGGAGGAUUUAAUAGAAGAACAUAUGCUCCAACAGAGUGUAAAUGACCAGUUUAUUGAUUCACUUUUACUCGGCCUUAGUUAGUAAGAAAGUCGAAAUACAUCAACUCGCAAAUGCAAAAUAACACAGCCUACGCAACAAACGUUUAUUAGAACACAGAUUCUAUAAAUACAACAGCUAAUAUUAAUCCCUAAAGAACAAAUGCCAUGAAGAAAGAAUAAAAUAAAAAAAAUAAAAUAAAAUAAGACAGUGAGCACUCAAUUUAUAUUAUUUACAUUAACGGAAGUAAUAAGUAAGUUACGAACAUCAUAUAUCAGAUUAGAGAUGAACUAUCUAUGGAAGAUGGUUUCGAACUAAAAAAAAAAAUCUGAAUUGCUAAUCACAGCUAACAAGACAAGCUAAUAGUAACAAAACAGAACGCACUUCGUCUGAAAGGAAAGGACGAGAAUAUUACCUUUUCCGGAGCAGCGAUACUAGGACGACGAGCUGAAACGACGACCUUCACUACGAGAACUCAGUUACAGACAAUGGUCAAGAGAUUUGGGCAGAAAAUUGAACCCAAACGCCGAAAGUUCUUGUAUCCCCUGUUUUUGAAGUAUAUCUUCUUGUAUUUAGACACUAAUCCUUAAAUAUAUAUUUUUUGCUAAAAUAAAAGAAAAAUCCCCCCAAACAAUGAAUAAGAAGGGGUAUUAUAUAGAUGGGGGAAUUAGGGCUCGGAUUCUCGGGGGAAAGGAUAGAAUAGGAAUUCUCCCACUCAAUCCUCAAUUCAAAAAAUUUCAAGAACCAAAGAGCUGUUCGUUUUUCCAAGAAAUCAACCCAAAUCCCACGAAAUCCGGAUGACAAGAUUAGGAUGGGCGGCUGUUGCAGAGAUUUGGACUACUGUUGCUUUGACAUUUUUGGAUUUGCGUCUGGGGAAGAGGAAGACGCUGGCAGGGGCUGUUUUGGUACUGUAUGGAUGUUGUUUAUCGUAUUGUAGAGUUGGAAUUGUGAAGGGAAAGGGGAUGGGGGUCGGCUGGAAUUGCUACUGCUGUACGUAUGUAUUGUAUUGUUGUUAU